GUACACUCCUACGGGAGGCAGCAGUGGGGAAUUUUGGACAAUGGGCGAAAGCCUGAUCCAGCCAUGCCGCGUGCAGGAUGAAGGCCUUCGGGUUGUAAACUGCUUUUGUACGGAACGAAACGGCCUUUUCUAAUAAAGAGGGCUAAUGACGGUACCGUAAGAAUAAGCACCGGCUAACUACGUGCCAGCAGCCGCGGUAAUACGUAGGGUGCAAGCGUUAAUCGGAAUUACUGGGCGUAAAGCGUGCGCAGGCGGUUAUGUAAGACAGUUGUGAAAUCCCCGGGCUCAACCUGGGAACUGCAUCUGUGACUGCAUAGCUAGAGUACGGUAGAGGGGGAUGGAAUUCCGCAUGUAGCAGUGAAAUGCGUAGAUAUGCGGAGGAACACCGAUGGCGAAGGCAAUCCCCUGGACCUGUACUGACGCUCAUGCACGAAAGCGUGGGGAGCAAACAGGAUUAGAUACCCGAGUAGUCC
rnacentral:rRNA from 1 species